CUGCAUAUUAUUAGAACUGGUUGUAAAGUUCAAAAAGACAAUCAGUGUCGAAAAUAUGCAAUAAGAAACGACUCAUUUACUUGUCUUUGGAUUGUUCUAAACCCUAACAGUCUGGAGAUUUCUUCUGUGUCAACA
rnacentral:snoRNA from 1 species